UCUUGAGAUCGCAACGAUUCU
rnacentral:piRNA from 1 species